GGCUCUUGGGUUUAAUCAAAGGGCUGUGAACCAUGAGUGCCAAAGGACUGUGAGAAAGAAAAAUUACAGACUUGGAAAGAAAUUCCAACAGUGUACUAAGAAGACAAUGACUGAAGGGCUCUCUCAGAAUAAUGGCAAGCGUCCCAAAAUUACAGGAAACACAUAACAAUCAAAGAUGAAUCAGACAGUCUCUAAAUAUCUUAACAAGAAGAUAACCGUCAUACUGCUUACUCCCAGCUGUCUGAGUUUACCGACGGGUGCAUACUCUUCUGCCAGUUUUACAGAAGGGGAAAUCACGGAUCAACGGUCUCCAUUAGGAACGGAACACAAGGAUGGAGCGAUGCGGUUUCCCACAGUGACCACUAGAUGGCAGACGUAUCCCCAGCCAACUUUUCCUCGGAGGCUCCCCAUGAACUUCAUUAGCUAG
rnacentral:lncRNA from 1 species